rnacentral:rRNA from 1 species
UACGAAGGGGACUAGCGUUGUUCGGAUUUACUGGGCGUAAAGCGCGCGUAGGCGGAUCACUAAGUCAGGGGUGAAAUCCCAGGGCUCAACCCUGGAACUGCCUUUGAUACUGACGAUCUGGAGAUCGGGAGAGGUUGGUGGAAUUCCGAGUGUAGAGGUGAAAUUCGUAGAUAUUCGGAGGAACACCAGAAGCGAAGGCGGCCAACUGGCCCGAUACUGACGCUGAGGCGCGAAAGCGUGGGGAGCAAACAGG